UACGAAGGGGGCUAGCGUUGUUCGGAUUUACUGGGCGUAAAGCGCACGUAGGCGGAUCGUUAAGUCGGGGGUGAAAUCCUGGAGCUCAACUCCAGAACUGCCUUCGAUACUGGCGAUCUUGAGUCCGGAAGAGGUGAGUGGAACUCCUAGUGUAGAGGUGGAAUUCGUAGAUAUCGGGAGGAACACCUGUGGCGAAAGCGGCGCACUGGACCACAACUGACGCUGAGGCGCGAAAGCUAGGGGAGCAAACAGG
rnacentral:rRNA from 1 species